UAGGGGCAGUAGGGGCAGUAGGGGCAGUAUGGGGCAGUAUGGGCAGUAGGGGUAGUAGGGGCAGUAGGGGGCAUCUCACACCUACUAACCCAUCUCCCUCCCCAGCAUUGAGCCUCAGAGGGCUGGAACAGGCUAGGCAGGUCAGAGCUCAUUACCAGCUAACUGCACAGCAUUGAGCCUCAGAGGGCUGGAACAGGCUAGGCAGGUCAGAGCUCAUUACCAGCUAACUGCACAGCAUUGAGCCUCAGAGGGCUGGAACAGGCUAGGCAGGUCAGAGCUCAUUACCAGCUAACUGCACAGCAUUGAGCCUCAGAGGGCUGGAACAGGCUAGGCAGGUCAGAGCUCAUUACCAGCUAACUGCACAGCAUUGAGCCUCAGAGGGCUGGAACAGGCUAGGCAGGUCAGAGCUCAUUACCAGCUAACUGCACAGCAUUGAGCCUCAGAGGGCUGGAACAGGCUAGGCAGGUCAGAGCUCAUUACCAGCUAACUGCACAGCAUUGAGCCUCAGAGGGCUGGAACAGGCUAGGCAGGUCAGAGCUCAUUACCAGCUAACUGCACAGCAUUGAGCCUCAGAGGGCUGGAACAGGCUAGGCAGGUCAGAGCUCAUUACCAGCUAACUGCACAGCAUUGAGCCUCAGAGGGCUGGAACAGGCUAGGCAGGUCAGAGCUCAUUACCAGCUAACUGCACAGCAUUGAGCCUCAGAGGGCUGGAACAGGCUAGGCAGGUCAGAGCUCAUUACCAGCUAACUGCACAGCAUUGAGCCUCAGAGGGCUGGAACAGGCUAGGCAGGUCAGAGCUCAUUACCAGCUAACUGCACAGCAUUGAGCCUCAGAGGGCUGGAACAGGCUAGGCAGGUCAGAGCUCAUUACCAGCUAACUGCACAGCAUUGAGCCUCAGAGGGCUGGAACAGGCUAGGCAGGUCAGAGCUCAUUACCAGCUAACUGCACAGCAUUGAGCCUCAGAGGGCUGGAACAGGCUAGGCAGGUCAGAGCUCAUUACCAGCUAACUGCACAGCAUUGAGCCUCAGAGGGCUGGAACAGGCUAGGCAGGUCAGAGCUCAUUACCAGCUAACUGCACAGCAUUGAGCCUCAGAGGGCAGGAACAGGCUAGCUAGCCAGGUCAGAGCUCAUUACCAGCUAACUGCACAGCAGGCUGACCACAGGGGUCUAUAUAGGGGGUCUAUAUAUGUCUCUCAGUGUGACCAUGCCAAACUCUCCAUCACAACAGCCACCAGGCUAGUUAGGAAAAACAAGUUAUUUUGAUACAGGAAGGAAUCAACAGGAUCAUUGAUUCUGACUGGAGAUUAGAUGCUUUUCUUAUGAUUUUAAAGUUCAUAUGAUUGUUGCCCUUGUUGAGACAUUUCCUCUUUAAUUUGUGAUCUAUUUUUGAUGAAUAAAUAAUUUUAUUAUUA